rnacentral:misc_RNA from 1 species
AAGGAUCAUUCAUAAUAAGUGUUUUAUGGCACUUUUUAAAUCCAUAUCCACCUUGUGUGCAAUGUCAGUUGUUCUUCUUUAUGGAGAAUGACCAAACAUCAACUUAUUUUUUAACUCUUUGUCUGAAAAAUAUUAUGAAUAAAUAAUUCAAAAUACAACUUUCAACAACGGAUCUCUUGGCUCUC